UACGUAGGGGGCGAGCGUUGUCCGGAAUCAUUGGGCGUAAAGCGCGUGUAGGCGGCUCGGUAAGUCCGGUGUGAAACCUUGGGGCUCAACCCCAAGCCUGCACUGGAUACUGUCGAGCUCGAGUCCGGGAGGGGAGAGCGGAAUUCCCGGUGUAGAGGUGAAAUUCGUAGAUAUCGGGAGGAACACCAGUGGCGAAGGCGGCUCGUCUGGGCAGGUACCGACGCUGAGACGCGAAAGCGUGGGAAGCAA
rnacentral:rRNA from 1 species